GACGAACGCUGGCGGCGUGCCUAAUACAUGCAAGUCGAACGAGAGCGACCGGUGCUUGCACUGGUCAAUCUAGUGGCGAACGGGUGAGUAACACGUGGGUAACCUGCCCAUCAGAGGGGGAUAACAUCCGGAAACGGAUGCUAAAACCGCAUAGGUCUUCGAGCCGCAUGGCUUGAAGAGGAAAAGAGGCGCAAGCUUCUGCUGAUGGAUGGACCCGCGGUGCAUUAGCUAGUUGGUGAGGUAACGGCUCACCAAGGCCGUGAUGCAUAGCCGACCUGAGAGGGUGAUCGGCCACAUUGGGACUGAGACACGGCCCGAACUCCUACGGGAGGCAGCAGUAGGGAAUCUUCCGCAAUGGACGCAAGUCUGACGGAGCAACGCCGCGUGAGUGAAGAAGGUUUUCGGAUCGUAAAACUCUGUUGUUAGAGAAGAACAAGUGCUAGAGUAACUGUUAGCGCCUUGACGGUAUCUAACCAGAAAGCCACGGCUAACUACGUG
rnacentral:rRNA from 1 species